UACGUAGGGUGCAAGCGUUGUCCGGAAUUAUUGGGCGUAAAGAGCUCGUAGGCGGUUUGUUGCGUCGGCUGUGAAAUCCCGAGGCUCAACCUCGGGUCUGCAGUCGAUACGAGCAAACUAGAGUGUUGCAGGGGAGACUGGAAUUCCUGGUGUAGCGGUGGAAUGCGCAGAUAUCAGGAGGAACACCGGGGGCGAAGGCGGGUCUCUGGGCCGGUACCGACGCUGAGGAGCGAAAGCGUGGGGAGCGAACAGG
rnacentral:rRNA from 1 species